rnacentral:rRNA from 1 species
GAAGGCGUGGGGAGCAANCAGGAUUAGAUACCCUGGUAGUCCACGCAGUAAACGAUGAAUACUUGGUGUCGGGGAGAUAAANUCUUCGGUGCCGCAAGCAAACGCAUUAAGUAUUCCACCUGGGGAGUACGUUCGCAAGAAUGAAACUCAAAGGAAUUGACGGGGACCCGCACAAGCGGUGGAGCAUGUGGUUUAAUUNGAAGCAACGCGAAGAACCUUACCAAAUCUUGACAUACUCUUGAAUAAUUUUGUAAUGAGAUUAGUCUUUCGGGACAAGGGAUACAGGUGGUGCAUGGUUGUCGUCAGCUCGUGUCGUGAGAUGUUGGGUUAANNNNNNCNACGAGCGCAACCCUUGUCGUCAGUAGCCAGCAGUAAGAUGGGAACUCUGACGAGACAGCCGGAGAUAAUCCGGAGGAAGGUGGGGAUGACGUCAAAUCAUCAUGCCCCUUAUGAUUUGGGCUACACACGUGCUACAAUGGCGUAAACAAAGUGAAGCAAAACUGCGAGGUUAAGCAAAUCACAGAAAUAACGUCUCAGUUCGGAUUGUAGUCUGCAACUCGACUAUAUGAAGCCGGAAUCGCUAGUAAUCGCAGAUCAGAAU